GGAAGUAAAAUCGUAACAAGGUUUCCGUAGGUGAACCUGCGGAAGGAUCAUUACAGAGUUCAUGCCCUCACGGGUAGAUCUCCCACCCUUGAAUAUUUAUACCUUAGUUGCUUUGGCAGGCCGUGGAAACACCAUGGGCUCCGGCUUAUGCGUGCCUGCCAGAGGAAACAAACUCUGUUUUUAGUGAUGUCUGAGUACUAUAUAAUAGUUAAAACUUUCAACAACGGAUCUCUUGGUUCUG
rnacentral:misc_RNA from 1 species